GUCCACGGCCAUGCCACCCUGAACAAGCCUGAUCCCGUCUGAUCUCGGAAGCCAAGCAGGGUCGGGCCUGGUUAGUACUUGGAUGGGAGGCCACCUAGGAAGACCAGGUGCUGUCGGCG
rnacentral:rRNA from 1 species